CAAAAUCUAGUGUCAAUGAGCACUACUGAAUAACAAGGUACAAGCAAAUCCUCUAAUACAACUUUCCUGAUACAAGAGCAGUAAAGAUAAAAGACAACAGGAAGAGAACUCCAAGGACUGCGGACGAUAUGGCAGCUACCUCGUAGUCUCCAAAACCCAGCACAACUCAAGUCUGAUAAUCACCUUGGCUGGAUGUAUCUGGAUUUGCACACGAAGUACAGAGUGUAGUAUGAGUAUAACCGACCCAAUGUACUCAAUAAGUAACAACACUAACCUUGAGUUGAAAGCAGUGACAAGAUCAGAACAACAAUCUAAUACCAAUACUGAUAACCAUUCAGAAUAUAAAGAAUAAACCAUAGAAAUAGUAGCUCAAUGAUACCAAGUUCAGCAUGUCCACAUUUCAGUAAUUUAGGCAUGAUUUCAAGUAUAACAAUUGAAGCCCAACAAGGAUAAAGCAGGUCAAAUAUCAGGUAGCAUGAGAAAAAUGCAUCUCUAUGCCUAUAUGUCAGGUAUACAUGUAAAUCAAUAGUAUCACAGUGGAUCCAUCAAGAAUAUUUACACUUAGCACUAUAUGGGUGACUAGCAUAACUACCCAUCCUCAAGCACAUAGGUGAAAUACUGUGCCUGCGCCCACUGUUGGCAUGCCAGACUCCAGAGGGGAGGAUCCUGCCCAAGAGCUAAUUAUAAUCAUUUAGCCCAGUAAUGAGGCCUGGUAUACGCGUCUCCCCAAAAUAAUAACACUUAUCCCAAUGUGGUCAUGGCGUACGCGUCACCUCAAAAUCAAUACCAAACCGGUUCUAAGGCCCAAACUCAGUCAUUUACCAUUCAAGUAUCAGAUAAACAUAUUUUAAAUAUUCAGUUUAACAGAAUUACCCUUAAGCGGUAUCAACAACAUGUGAGGAAUCAAAUAAGAAGUACUGAGAUAGAGAUAUUAUUCACGGAUUUAGUAUCAUGACUAAGAACAUGUGUGCAAAUAAGAUACAUAGCUCAGGGACAACAAAAAUAGCCCUAACAAGUCUUAAACGCUUAGCACAUAGCCUAGACAUGAUGUCUAACAUGAUUCAUAGUUCAUAUAAUUAGUCAAGUAGAGGAAACACGGGGAUAAACAUGAUAUGAUAGCAAAAGAAGCCCAGAAAUAGCCUAAAGGCCUCCCUACUCCAUGAACAAACCGGUGCAUGCACAUACAUCCGUCACCUAGCAUGUACGUCACCCCAAUAUCUAUCAUACAACAUAAUCCUUAGGGUUAAAUACCCUCAAAUGCAAGUUUAGAUGUGUUACUUACCUCAAAGUGCGCAACUCAAUGCUCCAACAAACCCUUGCCUCGUGAAUCGACCUCCGAACGACUCGAAUCUAGUCACAAAUAACUUAAUAUAAUCAAUACAAGCUAUAGGAAUCGAUUCUAGACGAUAAAGCUAAGAUCUUUAACCAAAAUCAAAAAGUGAACCAAAAAGUCAACCCAGGCCCACGCUUUGGAACCAGACAAAAUUCACAAAAUCCGAACUCACAUUCAAUUACAAGUCCAACCAUACCAAAAUCGUCCAAUUCCAACCACAAAUCAACCCUCAAAUCCCCAAAUCUUACUCUCAAAUACAUAGUCCAAAAUCCCCCGAGUUUCACCUCAAACACACAUAAUCUAGGUGUAGAAAUCAAUGGGUAUUCAAUAUUUAUGAAUAAAAGUGAUCAAAAAUCGCUUACCUCUUGAAUUCUAGUGAAAUCCCUCUCAAAUAUUGCCCCUAGUCGAGCUCCACAAGUCUAAAAAUGAGAGAAAACUCGAAACCCUUCGAAAUAUAACACUGCCACUCAUUUCGCAUAUGCGAUCCAUUCUUCGCUUCUGCGGAACCGCUUCUGCGAUCCAAUUUCCGCAUAUGUGGAACUCCCUUAAACUCCACCCUACCGCAUCUACGGUCCAAAGCCCACACCUGCGAAACUUCUCCGUUUUUACGAGUCAUGCUCCAAGUCACCUUCCACUUCUGCCGACUAUCCAUCGCACCUGCGGGCGGGUUUCUGUGCACUUGUGUCCGCUUCUGCGGAUUCCUAAUCCUAGCUCCUCCUCCGCUUAUGCGGAAGCAACAUGCAACUACAGGUUCACAGAUGCAGCAUAUUCCUCGCACCUGCGACCCAGCAGCAUCCCAAAUUCUCACACCUGCGCACAACUGUCUGCUUCUGUGGCUCCGCACAUGCGGCUAAAACUUCGCAAGUGCGGUUACACCAGAAUUGAAGCCAGCAGAAAUUCUUUAAGUCCAAAACUCAUCCCGAUUUCAAUCCGAAUCACCCUCGAGGCCCUCAGGACCCCAUCCAAACAUACCAACACAUCCUAGAACUUGAUACAAACUUAGUCGAAGCCUUAAAUCACAUCAAACAACAUCAAAUUCACGAAUCACACCCCAAUUCAAGUCUAUUGAAACUAAUGAACUUCCAGCUUCUAAAACCAAUGCCAAAACAUAUCAAACCAACUUCGAUUGACCUCAAAUUUUGCACACAAGUCAUAAAUGACACAACAGACCUAUUCCAACUCCCAGAACCAAAAUCCAAAACCUAUUCCAACUCUCGUCAACCCUCUCAACCUUCUAAACUUUCAACUUUCCAUUUUUCUCCAAUUCAAGCCAAAACGACCUACGGACCUCCAAAUUAAUAUCCAGACAUACUCCUAUGUCCAAAAUCACCGUACGGAAUUACUGGAACCAUCAAAUUUCCAUUCUGGAGUCGUCUACACAAAAGUUAAACUACGAUAAACUCUUUCAACUUAAGCUUCCAACCUUAGGACUAAGUGUCCCAAUUCACUUCGAAAUAUCUUCGGAACCAAACCAACCACCCCAGCAAGUCACAUAACCACAAAUGCACAUACAAGAAGCAACAAAUGGGGGAACGGAGCUACAAUACUCAAAACGAUUGGUCCGGUCGUUACAUUCUCCCCUCUUAAACAAACGUUCGUCAUCAAACGGGUCUAGAAUCAUACCUGUAGUCUCAAAUAGGUGUGGAUAGCUGCUCUGCAUCUUUCGCUCGGUCUCUCAAGUAGCCUCCUCGACUGCUUGGCCUCUCCAUUGAACUUUCACUGAAGCUAUAUUCUUUGAUCUCAACUUUCGAACCUGCCGAUCCAAAAUUGCCACCCGCUCCACUUCAUAAGUCAAAUUCCCAUCUAACUGGACCGUGCUGAAAUUCAAAACAUGAGAUGAAUCACCAUAAUACUUCUAAAGCAUAGAAACAUGAAAUAUCGGGUGAACACCCGAUAGACUAGGUGGCAAUUUAAGCUUGUAGGCCACCUCCCUAAUCCUCUCAAGCACCUCAAAAGGGCCAAUAUACCAAGGGUGCCCUUCUUCUCGAACCUCAUCACACCCUUCAUGGGAGAAACUCUAAGCAAUACCUUCUCUCCCACCAUACAUGAAACAUCGCAAACCUUCUGAUACGCGUAACUCUCAUGUCUAGACUGUGCUGUACGAAGUCGAUCCUGAAUCAGCUUAACUUUCUUCAAGGCAUCCUGCACCAAAUUAGUACCCAACAACCUAGCCUUACCCGGAUCAAACCAAUCAACUGGAGAACGACACUGUCACCCAUAUAAGGCCUCAUAAGGAGCCAUAUAACUACUCAAUUAGUAGCUGUUGUUGUAAUCAAACUCUACCAGCGGUAGAAACUGAUCCCAAGAACCCCCGAAAUCCAUAACACAAGCGCGUAGCAUAUCCUCCAAGACCUGAAUGGUACACUCGAACUGUCCGUCCGUCUAGGGCUCAACUCAAUCCGUGUGCCUAACUCUUGCUGCACUGCUCUCCAAAACUGCGAUGUGAAAUGCUUGCCCAGUUCAAAAAAGUGGACACCGACACACCGUGAAGGCGAACCAUCUUGUGGAUAUAGAUCUCAGCCAACCGCUCUGAAGAAUAGGUAGUCACAAUCGGAAUGAAAUGUGCAAACUUAGUCAACUGCUCCACAAUAACCCAAGCUGCAUCAAAUUUCUUCAUAUCUCGUGGGAGCCCAGCAACAAAAUCCAUGGUAACGCGCUCUCAUUUCCACUUGGGAAUCUCAAGUCUCUGAAGCAAACAUCACGGCCUCUGAUGCUCUUACUUCACCUGCUGACAGUUCAAGCACUGAGCCACAUACUCCACUAUAUAUUUGUUCAUUCUCCUCCACCAAUAGUGUUGCCUCAAAUCCUGAUAUAUCUUCGCGGCACCCGGAUGAAUGAAAUACCGCAAACUGUGGGCCUCCUCAAGAAUCAACUCACGUAACCCAUCCAUUUUGGGCAAACAAAUCUGAGCCUGCAUUCGCAACACCCCAUCAUCCCCAAUGGAAACCACCUUGGCAUCACUGUGCUGCAUUGUGUCCUUAAGGACAAGAAAAUGAGAGUCGUCAUACUGACGCUCUCUGAUGCAUUCAUACAAAGAAGACCGAGAAACCACGCAAGCUAGAACCGGACUAGGCUCUGAAAUAUCUAACCUCAUGAACUGAUUGGCCAAGGCCUGAACAUCUGAUGCUAGCGGUCUCUCACCAACUGGAAUAUAUGCAAGGCUACCCAUACUCAUAGCCUUUCUGCUCAAGGAAUCGGCCACCAUAUUGGCCUUUCUGGGAUGAUACAAAAUGGUGAUAUCAUAAUCUUUUAACAGCUCUGACUAUCUCUGCUGCCUCAAAUUUAGAUCCUUUUGCUCAAACAAGUGUUGUAGACUCUGAUGAUCUAUAAAUACCUCAUAGGACAUGCCAUAGAGAUAAUGCCUCCAAAUCUUCAAUGCACGAACAAUAGCUGCCAAAUCUACAUCAUGAAUGAGGUAGUUCUUCUCAUGAGGCUUCAACUGGCACGAAGCAUAAGCAAUCACCCUACCCUCCUUCAUCAAGAUACACAAUAGAAUCGCCUACCGACGUAGAUACAUGAACACGCGUAACUAAGGAAUCACGAGGCAUAUCCAAAUAACGAGCAAAGUACGCUGAUACAUAUGACUAAGUGGAACUAGGGUCAAAUACUAUGGGAGCAUCUCUGUGGCACACUAAAACAAUACCUGUGAUCAUAAUAUCGGAAGAAAUUGCCUCUGGACUGGCGGGAAAAGCAUAGCAUUGAGCGUGACCACCACUUGAAUGACCUCCCACUAUAGGUCGACCUCGAACAGUCUAAGUCCCACCCCGACCUGGCUGAGUGGGUGAUGAAGCAACUGGUGCAGGGGUCAUAGGCUGGCCUCCCUGCUGCACUGGACCUUUGUAGUGACAUGGGCAAUACUACCUCGCAUGCGCCAACUCUCCAUAGUCGUAACAACUUCUAGAUGGAAAUGAUGGUGGGGCAUGAAUCGGACCCCGAGAACUAGAAUAGCAAUGGAAGAACCCGGUACUGACGAACCCUGAAAUGAUGGAGCAUGGGAUGAACUUUGAGAUGGGAAGGCACUGAAAGAUGACUAACCUGGAUGAGCACUAUAUGAACCAUGACUAGAUGAUGUACCAUACUGAACUGGACGAGCCAUCUAAGUCGGCCUGUACGGACGAUCUCUACUGUGAUGUGACUGACCUCCAGGUGAGGUACCACUGAAACCACCAAAAUUAUGGGGCCUCUUUCCCUCCCGCUCCUCACGCUCAAGCCUGCGAACCGACUCCAAGUGCCUAGAAAUCUAGACCACUUGGUCAAACCUAGCAUCUGUCUCGACUUCCCGAGCCAAACUGUAACGUAGGCCAUAGUUUAGGCCAUCAAUGAACCUCCGGAUCCUCCCUCUCUCUAUGGGAACCAGCCAUAUAACAUGACGAGCCAUAUUUUUGAAUUUUAUUUCCUACUGGGUCACAGUCAUAUCUCCCCGGCGUAGCUGCUCAAAAUCUCUACGCAGCUCCUCCCUACGAGUCUGUGGGACAAACUUCUUUAAAGAAAGAAUGGAGAACUCAUACCAUGAAAGUGGCGCUGCGCCAACUGGCCUGCUUAACUCAUAGGCAUGCCACCAUCUGUAGGCUGCCCCAAUCAGCUGAAAUGUGGGAAAUGCAACUCCAUUGGUCUCCAAAUACCCACUGUGCGAAGAAUCCAUUGACACUGGUCUAAGAAAUCCUGAGCAUUCUCUGACUCCUCCCCAUUGAACUCUAGAGGCUUGAGCCUCCCAAGCCUCUCUAGUCUCAUCUGCUCCUCAUCACUCAUAAGUGGGCCAACCUCGGCCCGAGUAGCAGCAACCGUCUGGACUGGUAGUACCCCUAGUGUCUGGAGUUCCUGAGCUAUCUACUCUGGAGUACGGGCAGUAGGAGUCUAAGCACCUUCCCGGUCUGAGAAGUGGCUGGUGCAGCUGGAACUGAGACUGCUUGUGCUAGGCUCGUGCACACAAUCAAAAUCUGGGCUAAGGCCUCUUGAAGGCCUGGGAUCACAAUGGGAAUAACUGGUGCCUGAGCUAGUUCCACCGACUCAACAACAUCUGGUAUCAACCACUCAUCUGGAGCAAUUGGUGGCUCCACAGGUGCUGCUCUAGCUGUAGUAUGACGCCUCGGCCUCUCGCGGCCCUAGAUGGUGGUACUGGUGGCCGUCCGCCUGAUCCGGUCGCAUGUGUCCUCACCUCAAACUUCGGAAUUAACAAAUUCACACGAUAAGAAUGUAAGAAAGUGAACUUUCCUAAUAGUUUGAUAGCCUCUCGAAGAUAAGUACAUACGUCUUCGUACCGAUCCACAAGACUCCACUAAACUUAUUCAUGAAUCGUGAGACCUAAGCCUAGUGCUCUGAUACAAACUUGUCAUGACCCCAAAUUCUCAAGUCAUAAUGGCAUCUAACCCAACCCAUUAGGUAAGCCAACAAUCACAUGAUAUUAAUGAAAAUGGAAUAACAUGGUCUAAUAACCCAAUAACGGAAGAAUAUCAAUAAAUAUCUGAGAAUAAAGCCAAAAUGCUACUAUAACCAAUCUCAUAAUGUGGUGUCAACGAGCACCCAAGCACUACUGAAUAAUAAGGUACAAGCAAAUCCUCCAACACAAUUGUCCGGAUACAAGAUCAGUAAAGAUAAAAGAUAACAAGAAGAGAACUUCAAGGACUGCGGACGAUAUGACAGCUAUCUCGUUGUCUCCAAAACUUAGCAAAACUCAAGUCUCAUAAUCACUUCGGACGGAUGUACCUGGAUAUGCACACAAAGUGCAGAGUGUAGUAUGAGUAAAACCGACCUAAUGUACUCAAUAAGUAACAACACUAACCUUGAGUUGAAAAUAGUGACGAACUCAGAACAACAAUCCAAUACCAAUACCGAUAACAAUUCAGAAUAUAAAGAAUAAACUAUAGAAACAAUAGCUUAAUGAUACCAAGUUCAACUUAUCCACAUUUCAGUAAUUUAGGCAUGCUUUCAAGUGUAACAGUUAAAGUCCAACACAGAUAAAGUAGGUUAAAUAUCAGGUAGCAUGAGAAAAAUACAUUUCUAGGUCUAGAUGUCAGGUAUACAUGUAAAUCAACUGUAUCAUAGUGGAUCCAUAAAGAAUAGUUUCUUGCAGAAUUUGUUCCACAUAAAAUUUUUAAUGAUUUGGUUAUUCUAAACCUCCACCAGAGCUUAGCAAAUGGUUCCUUGGAGACAUCAUAUGAAAACCUGAACACCAAUCAUCCCUCCUAUGUAGUCAAGCAUAAGUUCUUCCAUUCUGACCAAUCUCUUCUUCUUCUUCUCUCCUCCUUAGUACUCUAAUAAACUCUAGCAAAUGUUUUAUGAAGCUUAUCAAUUAUAUAUCUAGGAGGGUCAAUAGUUGAGAGCAAGUGUAUUGACAUACUUUGAAGUACACGUGAGAUUAUAACCACCUAUUUUUCAUAGGAUAAUAACUUCCCCUUCCAUGUCUGUAACUUCUUCUUCACCUUUCCAAUUAAAUCAUCAUAGUAUAUUUUUUUUCCUUGUGCAGUAUAUAGGAUAACCCAAAUAUGUGAAGGAAAACUGCCCUCUCACAAAAUCUAUUGUAUCUUGAAUUGUUUCAUACAGGGUAUCUACUAUAUUUUGAUGCAUAUAGAAUGAGAUCUUCUCCUUAUUGAUCUUUGUCUAGACAUAGUUUCAUACCUGUGCAAUGUAUCCAUUAUCAUCUCUAAGGAGUCUCUCUCAGCGGAUGCAAAAAUAAUAAUAUCAUUUGUAUAAAAGAGGUGAUUCAAACUACUACUCCACUUAGGCAUGCCAUAACUUAUGAAAUUUUAAUUAUGAAAUAACGAGUUGAAAGCCCUAAACAAAACUUAUGCGGAUAAAACAAAUAAUGCAGGAGAUAAAGAUCUCCUUACUUCACCCCUCUAGUAGAGUGAAAGAAUCCAGUAGCCUGACCAUUCAAUAAUACGGAGUACCAAUUAUUUGAUAUUGUUCUCCAUAUCAUGCCUACAAAGCACUCCACACAUCCUAGGUACCUAAGCACCUUUAAUAGAUAGCAUAACACAAUCUAUCAUAUGCCUUUGCCAUAUCCUAUUUGAUCAUUACCAUGGUAGGUUUAGCUCUCUUUCUAAUAUCCAUGACAAUCUCUUGUGUAAGUAAAAAAUUCUUAUUGAUAUUCCUCCCUUUUACAAAUUCGAAUAGUUGUAGGAGACGAGUGAGCAAAGCAGCUUCUCUAUCGCUCACCACCCUGGAGGUCACCUUGUUAAUCAAGUUACUGAGACUUAUGGUCUCAUAUUUAAGAAUGUCUACACAACUGGUUUCUUAGGUAGUAGGAUCGUAUUAGUGUGAGUAGUGGACUUUGGUAGCACAUGUCCAUCAUAGAAUGAGUGAACAAGUGAAUGUACAUCCUUGCCUGUAACCUCACAUCAAGCUUGAUAAAAAAUGCUAGAAAAUCCAUCAGGACCACUAGCAGUUCCACCACUAAAUGCAGAUACAACUUUCUUAGCUUCUUCUAGUGUGGGACAAGUGCACAAUCUCAUGUCAUCCUCAUGAGAUACCAAAUUUAGGACAUGCUCCAUCACACUAAUCUAAAUUGACUACUUCUCUCAAAUAAAUUGAUUUUGGUAGAAAGAAAUAACUUAUGAAGACAUUAAAUCCAUGGACUCAAGCCAAUCAUCAAUAAAGUUUUGAAUUCUAUUAAGUUAUAGUUUCUUCCUCCUUCCAUUGAUGUUGUGGAAGAACCUGGUAUUUUCUAUCACCCUCAACUAACUAUGUUAUUCUAGCUUUUUGUUUCUAGUAUUAUUCUUCAAGGUGAAGGUAUUUCUUCAAUUCAACUUGUGCUCUAUGUAGUACCAUUAGACUAGAAACACUAUGAUCUAGUUCAAACUGCUCCUCAUUUAUCUCCAUAAUGUCAUCAAGAAUAGCCAUAUGUUUGAAGAUGUCUCCAUAAGUAUACCUACUCUAUUUGGAUAAUGCAAAUUUCACAUUCUUCAACUUUUCUUUAAACACCAGGAAUGGGUCACCUACAAAAUCUGCUUUUUAAUGCUGCCUAACAAUGUCCAAGAAUAUAUCAUGUUGUACCUAGAAGUUAAAGAGCCUAAAAUUCUAAUAAAUUAUUGUGUCUAGUCUCCAUAAAUAAGAAACAAUAGAGCAUGAUUAAAACAUACUCUUGUGAGAUUCUCUACCUCCAAUUGUGUGAACAAAUUCUGAAAGUGUUGAUUCAAGGUAGUCUAUCCAAUAUCUUGAAGAUGCACUCCUAAUCUGACCUCCUGUCCACCAUGUGAAUGGACUGUCCUUGAACCCUAAAUCCAAUAGCUCAUAGGAGUUUAUACAAAAUGCAAAAUCUUCAUAUUCUAAAGGACAGACUAGCAAUCCUCCUAUUUUAUCCUCUCCUGACAAAAUUGCAAUAAAGUCACCUCCUGCAAAUUAUGGCAACUCCAUAUCAUUUGCUAAAUAAUGCAGGUUAUCCCAUAGCUUUAACCUUUCCAUUGCAUCACACUUGUCAUAGACUAAAGUGUCCAUCAUACUCUUACCAAAAUCAUAAAGAAAAAACUCCUAGGUAACUUAUUGUUCUGUGUCCAUAAGAGUCUCAAUGUCAUCAAUAAAGACCUGUAUCUUCCCAUUGCAGUUAGAUAUAGCCAACUUCAUGCCUAGUCUCCUCUUGUUGAAUAUGUAUAUCCUUAUGAAAAUAUACACUAUAAAAAUAAGUUUGUGUUGCAUCAAAGAUAAUAUAGAAAGAUAUCAUAUCCAUAAGGAUUAAUUAAAACAAUGUUUAACUAAUUCCUGCCUUAGCACUAUUCAAGAGAAAUAAUUAUUUAUAUUGAUGCGGUUAUGAGCCAUGAGUAACCGGGUAAAAUUGUACACAAAUAAAACGAUUACAUGAAAGAUGAGAAUUGAGAAACAACGAUUAAUUAUUAAUGAGAGAAAAUAGAGCUAUUGACAUGGUCGGUGCAAUAUUGUUGUCUAAGAUCUAACUUUGUUCAAUAUUCACCUUUGAGGUUUUAUUGAUUCUCACAAAUUCAAUAAUUUAUUAGAUAGUUCUUGAAAUUAAGAUUUUUCUCUCGAAUGAACUUAAUCUCUAUGAAAUAAACCAAUAUGAAGCGUUGUGUACAUAUGCAAGAAAAUAUUGAUUCAGAUGGUUUCAAGAGAAACUCCUCUCGAAUAUUUUUUUAUUUUAUUUCAAUUAAUAAUUCAAAAGGCUCUUGCGCUUACUUGAAGGAUCACUAAUUGAAACUAAACAAUAUAAUGUAAGAUAUUUAUCAAACUAUCCUCUUUCCAUCAAACAAAAUAAUGAAUAAUUUUCCAACCUAAUUCAAACUCCAUCAAUCAAUUCAAACAAAUAAACAAGAUUUAAAUCUAUAAAUAAUGCUUAAAACACCAUGUCUGUCAAAACCAUAGUGAAAAACUAUUCCAUAGGUGAAAAGAAAUACAUAGUUUUAAAUGAAUUAAAUCUAGAAAAUAUUACAACCAAUUAAGUAUUUAAUUAAUUGUUGAGUUAAAACUCAAUAAGUAUUCAGGCCUUAGUCUCUCUCCCAAUCUUUCGUAGGUCAAAGUCCUUUCAAAAAUAUAUUUUUCAUGUAUCUAUACUAGGUACAAAUGAUCUGGGACCAAACUAUCCUUAAUGAGGCGAAGCAAGAAUUUUAGGAUAAAAAAUAACUUGUUGUGUUGCCCCACUUAUCGCGAUAAGAGACUAUAUUAGCUGCCUUAUCAAAUUGCAUUCUGAUGCCUAUUUGUUAGGCCCCGUAAAAUUUUGCAAUGAUUUAAGACUCUAAAGCGCGCUCAUGAGUUCCUUAACUACUGUUUUGCCUCCCACAAGAGACUAUGGAAUAGAAACAACUUAGAUUUGUCAUGAUAAUAAAUGUGAUAGGCCUAUUUAAUGUGAUUUAUGUCUAAAGAAAGCCCUAGAACAAAGCUAAGUUGGAAGCUAGAUGACAAACUAAUGUUUCGAGAGCUUACAUAUUAUCCAAUUUCAAACGAGCAAAACUACCAAAGUGUAAAGAUUAAUAGGCUGAUCUACCUACAAAUGAAAGCUCCUUGAGUAUGGUUUCUGACGCUUCAAACCGUGCAACUCUUAGAUAUUCCUACUAGAAGUUAUGAUAUUUUUACUGAAGGUUGUCUGACAGAAAAAUCCAGCGCUCAGGCCAGCGCGUGGCGCCUCCUGUGGCACCCAAACCAGAAGCCAUUUUUGGACCAACGCCCAAGCCAGCGCUUGGUGCCUCCCCCGGCGCCCAACCGGACUUUAAGAAAGUUCAUAUCAAUAGUAUUUUUCCCCUAUUUCACUUCGCCCAUUUUUGGAGCUUUUCUCCCCUCACUCAGGACCCUCAACUCCUCCUAUCUUCAAGAUGAGUAAUACCCACUAGUUUGGUAUUUUAUCCCAUCAAUUUCAUAGUAAAACUAACUCAAACCACCAUGAAAUCAUUAGAUUUUCAAGGAAUCUUUCCAAGAGCUCACGUGAGGACUUUGCAAGAUUUACCCCCAAAAGGUAAUUCCAUCUCAUUGGACUUGCAUGCAUGGCUUAAUAAUGAACAUAUGAGUAGGAAUUUGGAGGUAGAACUUAUGAGAUGGUGAUUGGAAGACAUAAGUUAACGAAUUGGAAAUUUUGAGAAUUUGUAGAGAAUGAGAAGUGUUUGCUUGAUGUAUUUGUUAGUUGGGAGUGAAUUGUAAGAUAUGAAUACGUUGUUGGAGGUCCUAAACUAUCUAUGGUUGGUUGUAGUAUGAAUUGGUGGGGCAAAGAGUGAGUAUUGAAUGAAGAAAUAUCAUUCAUGAAGGUGGUAGAGAAAUGUGCACACUAGAUGCUUGACAUAAUGCCUAAGUGAGCAAUAUGUAAAACAUCCUUACUAAUAUUGGUACAAUUGUGUUGCAUUAUUAUAGAUUGAAGUUAUAUAGUGUGGUGGACCAUCAUAGUAUUGUUAAGGUACAAAUUUGAGGUAUGUUGGCUAAACCCCCUCCGUAUAAUUAGAUUCCAUGAUCUCCUUAUGAAUUCCAAGUAUGGUUUGUCCAACUUCCUAUCCUUAUUGAGUUAAAUUGCCACAAACGAUUGAUGUAUCAAAUGCUUAUUUACCCAAGUCAUGUCUCAAUUGACCUCAUGAUGUCAUGCUCUCCCUUGGGAAAUAAUUCAAGUAUGAUUGAUUUAUCAACCACUUAUGAACUCAAUCCAUCAUUCCAUUGAAAUCACUAUGCUCUCCUUUUCUAAUUUGUUCCAAUGUGUUUUGAGCUCUUAUGAACUUAUGAGUUGAAGCUAUGAUUUUUCCAAUGUCUUAAUUCUCUUUAACGUUUGAUGAUGAUCCGUAACAAGUAAAAGAAUGAAAGUAUGAAAUAUGAAAUGCAUCCAUCGUACCAAGAAUGAAAAUUAUCAUGUAUGGCCAAGAGUGACAAUGAAAUGAAAGAUUUUUUGGAAGCUAUGAGAUGAACAUAUUUCUUUUAUAUAGAAAUAUUUUUGGGAGGAUCGUCAGGUCACCGAGGAAGGGUGGGUUGUAAAGGCCUAAUCCCGAAGCUACCCGUGCCGGUGUAGGGAUUGAUUGAGCUACAAAUCCCUUUAAUAUUAUGUUGAGAUUAUUCCCCUUGAUUGGGAUAAAUUGAUAGCUAACAAAUACCAUAUCAAUCCACAUGUCAUUGUGGUGAGAUGGCUUAGCUGAUCAGGCAGAGAUCGGACACCAUGCCGUGCACAUGGUGGUUUUGUAUUUCUAUGUCAACACAUACAUUAGGGUGGGACGACCUAGCCGAUUGGGGCGAGAUGGGACUCCAUGCCACGUGCAUGGUGGUGUGUCCGUAACUAAUUAUCUCCCAACCGAAAACGUUAAUGCUUGUUUGAAAAUUUAUUAUGUUUUAACUUGGUACCUAAAUAUUAUUUGAUAUUCUUACUGCUUCAAUGUUUCACUCUGCUUAUGUUGGAAUUCCAUUCCAUGUGAGGGUACUUAGAUUUACAUACUAGUAAUAUUCCAGAUGUACUAACGUCCCUUUUGUCGGGGGCGCUGCAUCUUCAAUGGAUGCAGGUGGUUCCUUAGCAGGUGGCACAGUUCUUAAUAGGCGUACCCUCCUCUCAGCUGACUCGGUGAGCUCUACUCCGUAUCGGGGCCUUAUGUCAUUUUGAUUCCUGUACAUUGUAUUUUGAAGUAUAGCUGCCUUGAUACCGACACUUUCAUAUUGCACUCAUGUUCAAUUAGAUGCUCCAUAGAUGUACUGUGGGUUAUGUUUUAAAAAGGGGGAAAAACAAACUAAAAAAUGUUGUAGUUGUCGGAUGUUUCCACUUUUAAACUAUGAACUUGUAAUGUUUUGGUAAUUGUAAAUGAAGCUCCUAUAAGUAAUGAUAAUUGGUAAUGUACAUUUUAUCCUCUCGCUGUCUAUCUAUUGUCAUUUAUUCUUAAAUUAUUCAUGGUGAAGGUUGGAUAGUAGGCACUAAGUAGGCUUGCCCGACUGGGGUAACUCAGUUGAGCGCCGGGUUCGCUCCCCAAGGCUGGGGCGUGACAAGCUUAGUAUCAUAGCCUAAGGUUUUAAAGUCCUAGGAUGUCUCAGAGCCAUGUCAAUUAGAGUCCUUAUUAUUAGUGUGAAGUCGACCACAUCUAUAAUUAGGAGUCUAGUUGGGCCUUUAGGAAUGUCACCCUUCUUUGAUACUUUAGAUCGUGUGAUAGAGCUUGAUUAAAAGACUGACCUUUUUUAACUCGUGCGUUGUUCUAAUGUUUUUCAGUACAUGGUGCCUAAGAAGAAGGCGAAGAGUGGCCAAAGGGCCAAUGCCACACCAAGAGUGGUAGAAAAUACAAUACCAGAUGUUGCGGGUGAGCACCCACGGGGUGAAUACAUUCCCCCAACUACAAUACCUCAUGUUUCUACUACACCUGUUGAAAAUGUACAGAUUCCUCCUCCAACUGAUACUCCAGUUCCACCUCCAGCCUCAAGCUCCGGUCUUAGUGUUUCUGAUGGGGACCUUAGGGGAGCCAUCCAAUUGUUGACUUAGAUAGUGGCUUCCUAGGCCUAGAGAUUGAAUGCCACAUCUACUUCCUCUAGCCACCAAGGGGAUUCAACUAGUUCCAGGGUGAACAGAUUCCUUCAGUUGGAUCCUCGGUGUUCACGGGUACUAAGUCCGAGGAGGACCCGUAGGAAUUUAUUGAUGAGAUGCACAAGACUCUUUAUGUGAUGCAUGACACUGAGACAGAAAUAGUGGAAUUGGCCUCCUAUCACUUGAAAGACGGGGCGUAUUCAUGGUUUGAAUUGUGGGAGAAGUUCCGCGAGGAGGGUAGCCCUCCGGCAGAGCGGAACGAGUUUGCGGGUGCUUUUAUGGAUCAUUUCUUGACUGCCGAGACUAGGGCAUCCCGUGCCACCGAAUUUGAGUACUUGAAGCAAGGUAGUAUGAGUGUGUGGGACUACCAUCUGAAAUUUGUGGAUCUUUCCAAGUAUGCUGUUUACAUGUUGCCCAAUAUGAAGGCUAGGGUGCGCCAGUUUGUGCAAGGCCUGAGGCCUCUAUAGCCACCUUGAAUUCUGAUAUGAACUAUGAGAAGAUGGUGGCAUUUUCUCAAGCCAUAAAGACCCGAAAAUUGAAUAACAAAAUGGAGCGAGAUGGUAACAAGAAGGUCCGUUCCGCGAGCAAAUUUGGUGGUUCUUUCAGUGGUGGUAGUGGUGGAAAGGCAAUUUUCAAGGGAGGGUCAUCUGAACCAUUAUAGUCUUUUGCUCAGUCUUCAUCCAGUGCACUGCCAUUAGUGCCUAGUCAGCUCAGUGGAGUCGUUUAUGGCCUAGUCAGGGCAAUAGGGGGUCUUACCAGUAGGUUCAGUCACGCUAGAGAUUCCAACCGCGGCAGAGAACCUCAUGCCCUAGAUGAGGGAAGAUGAACUCGGGAGUCUACUGCAUGAACCUUCCCAUAUGCUAUGGGUGUGGUCUUAGCGGUCAUAUUCAGAGAGGUUGCCCUUCGUCCAGUCAGAAUGCUGGUACAGGUGUGGUACAACCGGCUACUUCAGCAGCUACUACUUCUGCAGCACCUCCUCUGACUCGAGUUACUCCGGGAGGACCCAAUAGGUUAUAUGCUAUGAGGGGCCGCUAGAGUUCUGAGGCUUCUCCAGAUGUCGUCAUAGGUAUACUGACUGUCCAAUCUCAUGAUAUGUAUGCUCUUAUAGAUCCUGGUUCCACAUUAUUGUAUGUCACUCGUUAUGUUGCUAUGGAAUUCGGGAUAGUACCAGAACAUCUUUGUAAGCCAUUCUUUGUAUCUACUCCAAUUGGCGACUCUAUUGUGGCCAUAGAGGUUUAUAGUGAUUGUAUUGUCACUAUGCAUGGGUGAGGCACCACAUCCGAUCUCAUUGAUUUGGGGAUGGUGGAGUUUGAUGUGAUAAUGAGGAUGGACUGCUUUAAUCAUGUUUUGCCAAGCUUGAUUGCCGAACCAGAACCAUUAGGUUUAAGUUUCCUGGCGAGCCAGUCAUUGAGUGGAAGGGGGAUGGUGUUACCUUAAUGCCGUGAAGAUGAUCAGCAAGGGGUGCAUCUACCAUUUGGUCCGAGUCACGGACACUGAUGUUGAGGCACCGACACUUGAGUCCAUGCCGGUUGUGAAUGAAUUUUUAGAGGUCUUUCGUAAUGAGCUUCCUGGAAUCCCACCCGAUAGGGAGAUUGACUUUAGGAUCAAUGUAUUGCCGGGCACGCAACCAAUAUCAUUUCCACCCUAUAAAAUGGCUCCUGCAAAAUUGAAGGAACUAAAGGAGUAGUUGAAGGCCUGCUAGAGAAGGGUUUCAUUUGACCGAGUGUGUCAUCCUGGGGUGCACUGGUUCUCUUUGCAAGGAAGAAGGAUGGGUCAUUGAGGAUGCGUAUCAACUAUCAACAGCUCAACAAGGUCACAAUAGUGAAUAAGUACCUGCUGCCCAGGAUAGAUGACUUGCUUGAUCAGUUGCAAGGGGCUAAGUACUUCUCCAAGAUUUAUUUAAGAUCGGGGUAUCACCAGUUGAAGAUUAGGGAGCAGGAUAUUUCGAAAACAACUUUCAGGACUCGGUAUGGGCACUUUGAAUUUCUGGUUAUGUCUUUUGGGCUAGCGAAUGCUCCUGCAGCUUUCAUGGAUCUUAUGAAUCGAGUCUUCAAGCCUUUUAUCGACUCUUUUGUGAUAGUGUUAAUGGACAACAUUCUUGUGAAUUGACAAAGUUGAGAGGAGCAUGUCAAUCAUCUCAAGGCGAUUUUUCAAACUCUGUAUCAGCACAAGUUGUAUGCGAAGUUUUUGAAAUGUGAGUUUUGGCUCGAGUCUGUCACUUUCUUGGGACAUGUUGUUGUUAUUGAGGGAGUCAAGGUUAUCCUCAGAAGAUUGAAGCUGUGAAGGAUUGGCCUCGACCCACAACUUCGAAAGAGAUUUGUAGUUUCUUUGGCUUAGUGGGGUAUUACAGAAGGUUUGUGGAGGGAUUUCCUUCUUUUGCCUCUCCAUUGACUAAGUUAACAUAAAAGGUAGCCAAAUUUCAAUGGUCAGAUGCUUGUGAAAGGUGAUUUCAAGAGUUGAAGUCAAGGCUGACCACGACACUGGUGUUGACCGUACCGAAAGGUACAUAUAGGUUUAUUGUAUAUUGUGAUGCUUCAAGGGUUGGACUUGGGUGUGUGUUAAUGCAACAUGGCAAGGUGAUCUCUUAUGCUUCUAGGCAACUCAAGAACAACGAGAAGAAUUAUCCAACACAUGACUUAGAGCUUGCGACGAUGGAGUUCGCAUUGUAGAUUUGGCGUCAUUAUUUGUAUGGGGUCCAUGUAGCAAUAUUCACGGACCAUAAGAGUCUUCAAUAUAUCUUCAAGCAGAAGGAGUUGAAUCUAAGGCAAAGGAGAUUGCUUGAGUUACUCAAGGACUACGAUAUCCACAUUCUCUAUUAUCCGGGGAAAGCUAAUAUUGUGGAGGAUGCUCUUAGCCGGAAAUCUAUGGGUAGUCUGGCGCAUUUGGAGGCACACCAAUGGCCGAUGGCUAAGGAAGUUCACCGGUUGGCUAGUUUGGGAGUCCGGCUUGCGAACUCUAGUGAACGUGGGGUAAUUAUGCAACAUUGAGCCGACUCAUCGCUAGUGGUUGAAGUUAAGGAGAAACAAUAUGAUGAUCCAUUUCUGGUGCAAUUGAAGAAGGAAAUUCAUAAACACAAAAUCACGGCUUUUUCUCUUUGAAUGAAUGAUGGUACACCAAGGUACCAUGUGCGAUUGUGUUCCGAAUGUAGAUAGUCUUCGAGAGAGAAUCAUGACCGAGGCUCAUAGUUCCAAAUAUUUCGUACACCCAGGCUCUACGAAGAUGUACCAUGAUCUUAAGAAAAUCUAUAGCUGGAAUGACAUGAAGAGGGAUAUAGCGAACUUUGUGGCUAGAUGCCCGAAUUUCCAAUAAGUGAAGGCCGAGCACGAAAGGCCCGAUGUCUUGGCACAUAAUACAGAGAUUCCACUGUGGAAGUGGGAGAUGAUCAAUAUGGACUUUUUGGUAUGUCUACUUCGCACGCCUCGCAAGUUUGACUUGAGUUAGGUGAUUGUGGAUCGAUUCACGAAAUCAACACACUUCUUGCCUAAUAAGGCUAACGACACAACAAAAUAUUAUGCUCAGUUGUGUAUCAAGAAAAUAGUCGGAUUGCAUGGCACUCCAGUUUCCAUCAUCUCAGAUCGAGGAGAGAGCAGUUCACAACUAACUUUUGGCAGAAAUUUCAGCAAGGUUUGGGUACACAAUUGAAUCUUAGUACAACUUACUAUCCACAGACCGAUGGGUAGGCAGAGCGGACUAUACAAAUGCUUGAGGAUAUGUUGCGUGCUUGUGUUUUGAACUUCAAGGGUAGCUGGGAUGAUCAUUUGCUCAUAGAAUUUACCUUUAACAACAGCUAGUAUGCCAACAUUCAGAUGGCGCCAUUCGAAGCUCUAUAUGGUAGGAGACAUAGAUCUCCCAUUGGUUUGUUUGAGGUUGGUGAAGCAGAACUGAUAGGGCCAAACCUCGUGCAUCAGGCUAUGGAGAAGGUCAACAUUAUUAAGGAGUUGUUGAAAAAAUCGCUCAGAGUCGCCAGAAGUCCUAUUUGGAUGUGCGUCGUAGAAAUUUGGAGUUUAGAGAGGAUGAUUGGGUAUUUUUGAAAGUUUUUUCCAUGAAGGGCAUAAUGCAAUUUGGGAAGAAAGGAAAAUUGAGUCCAAGAUAUAUCAGACCAUACAAAAUCUUGCAGAGGGUUGGUCAAGUGGCUUGUACGCUCUCCAGAGAUGUCCUAAGUGCACCCGGUGUUUCAUGUGUCUAUGUUGAAGAAGGUGGUUGGAGAUCCAUCGCUCAUCUUCCCAGUGAAGGCUAUUGAAGUUAACGAAGAAUUGACUUAUGAGGAGAUUCCGGUUGCCAUUCUUUCUAGACAAGUUCAAAAGUUGAGGAAUAAAGAGAUUUUCAUUGUCAAUUAUUUUACAACCCGUUCAUUGCAGUAUUUUAGUGACCAGUCCCAGACAAUCUUUUUAAGCCUUUGAGGUCGUACUUUGUACUUUAGCAUAUUCAUUUCAGGAAUCAUUUUACCUUCGUCGGAAGCCUUUUGAGCCAUAUUUUGCAUCGUUAUUUAAGCUAUCAGGGCUCGUCCCUCUUAUGAAAGAAGAACUUAAGUUUGCCCCAAAUCUGAAAUGGGUUAAACAACUUGGAUUAAUCUAUUGCUACUACUUAAUAUGUUGACCUACCUUUGGCAUAAAGAGGCCCCCUUUUAUAUAAUAUGACACAUUUUAUUUGUCCGAUAUGAUACUUGGUUUGAGCUAAAUGACUCUAUGUAAUAACAUAAUAAUCAUGUUAUCUCCAACUAACUUCUCUCAUCUAUUUCUCCUUUCGCUCGUUUUUUUAUAUCUUUAUCCCCAAAACAAAGGUUAAUUUGUGUUGAUUGUCAAACUGGCGGGGCUACCUUACACCCUAAGAUCCAAAGGAAAAAUGGUUAACACAGAGGCAACGAACCCGUCAAGAGGUGCUUUGGUUGUCACAGACUUUCCUAGGGCUUCAGAAGGAGGGGAUAAUACACAGAAUGAUGAGUACAUUACUCGCCUAGAGCAAGAAAUAGAAAUGUUAAGAAGAGAAGUGCAACAUGUCAAGGACAUAACGAAUUUGGCCGUAACAACCUUGCAAAACCCACCCCGUUUUCCAUCCUUCGAUGCACCCAUUUUUGAUCAUAUUCCAUUAUUCACACAACCACAUGCAAGUACACUGGUCACCACUACUAGCACAACACCCCUUACUGCUCCUUGUAUCAUACUGCCAGUUACUCCAGCUAAUCCACCCCACCCAUCCAUAACACCAUACAUCCCAGACUAUGCCCCCACCACUCAAAUUCCCUAAACUACAACUAAUCAUGUUUACACCCCCUCUCAGAGUGCUACCACAUUUACCAACCUAAAUGUGAAGCACAUACUAGCGGCAUAUGUCACCACACAUGAGAGAUAUGCUCCACCAGUAUAUGCAAUCGGGGAACCAACUUUCACAACACUCAUCACGGCCAGAGUCCCAUUUGAUAUAGACUAGUAUGCCGAGUUGGAAAAUGAUUGUCACACCUCCUUUUUUUCGGGGAAAGGAGUUUUUCAAAUUAAAGUGAUAUUAUUGAAAUGGGAUUAAUUUAUUUUAUUUUUUAAGAGUCGCCACUUAGAAUAAUUAUUUACGGUGUCCCAAGUCGCAAAUUUAUUUUUAAAUCCCAAAUCAAGAAAAUUGACUCUGUUUAAGUCUGCGAAACACAGAAGACCGAGUAAGGAAUUCUGUUAACCCAGGAGAAGGUGUGAGGCACUCCUGAGUUCCGUGGUUCUAGCACGGUCAUUUUAAUAAUUAUACCUGGCUUAACUAAUUCUGGAUAUUUUAUGUUCUAGGGAAAUUUGUGCACUUUUUCCUUAAAUCGUUUUUAAUUGCUUGAUUAUUUGUAAUGAUGGAAUUAUCUUGAAACGAAUCACGCGUAUGUGUAUUCGUUUUGUUUGGCGUGUCAAGAAUCAUGUCACGCGUACGUAUACACAAUUAAUAAUACUUUAUUAUUUUUAAGUUGCAUGAACGCAUACUUUGGUUGUAUUUGAGAUUCGUAAUUAUAUCACGCGAACGUAUACAUAAUCACGAUGAUUUGAUUAAUUAAGAGCGUGCCUAAAAGCAUACUAACGUAUUCAUGAUUGGUAUUUGGUUAGGAGUGAUAGAGUUUUAUUUAUUACAUACAAUUGGGCCAGCAUAUGGAUAUUUAUUCAAUGGAAUGGGCUUGACAACAUUUCAGCAUAUUGUCCCAAUUUAUUAAUUCACUAAUAACCCCAAAAUUCUCUAUAGCUCCCUCUCCCUCUCCCUCUCUAUUGUCAACUAUCAAAAGUGACUUAUUCUAUAUUGGAUCUAGACACAUGGAAAGUUUUUAAAAAUUGAAAUUAUAUUGAACAAAGGCAACAAAUAAUGAAAAGAAAAUUAAUCUGGCUAACAUACUUUCAACCAAAACAAACAAAAAUAAAAAAAAUGCAACAACAUUACUACCUAUUUAGAAGCCACAAACGAGAGGAGCUUAGGGUCAACAUCUCUGCUUUGCUUAAAGGCUUUCCAAUAUGCUUACAGAUAAGUGGCACUUAUGACAUUUCAGGGUUACUAUGUUUUAAUUUUGAUGUAGACAUGUGGAAAAUUUUGAUGGACAAGUGGGACUAGAUUUCACACAGCUCUCGGCUCUUCUAUAUUUUGCUUGACUAACCAAUAUGUCUUUUUUUUCUUCAGUAAAUUAUAGUAAUUUAAAUUAAUGUUAAACCUUAAGUUAAAGUGUUAUAAAAAUAAUAGCUCCUCUAAAAAAAAAUAUUGCAAAGGUGAAGAAUUUUUUUUUAAAUCCUAAGUUUUAACUAUUAUUCUUAAAGUGAAGAUUGUCACUUUUGUCUAUGGUUACUACUAAAAUAAAUGCUUGUUUAAUAAAAUCAGAAAGCAUAUGAACUAUAAACUUUACAAAGAAGUUUGGCAUGAUAAUUUAUAUUUGCGCAUAUAAUGGAUGCACUAAAUAUUUUUGCAAAACUACUGCUAAAGGUUUACAUCUUCAACUUGAAGAGCAAAGUUGACCUUUGCUUUUAUCUUUGUUCAAGUUCCCAAUAAUUUUUAAUUUGGAAAAAUUUUUCCUGCACUACAAAUGCUGAACCUAUUUUGUCAUGACUUCGUGAAGUGUGGGAGAACAAUUUUCUAAUGUUUUUUCCUUUCCUUUCUGUGGAAUAUGAAAAAAUUUGGUAAAUUCCAAAAAAAAAAAAAUGUUGGAUUGGUUUUUAAGUUUCGAUAUUGGAAAAAUAUGAAAUUACUAUUAUAACUUAGAAUUGAUUUUUGUUACAUCGUGUAAAUAGACUAUGUUAACUUAUAAAUAAGUAGAAAUCAAAUUAAAAAUUAAAAUUAACAAACAACAAGCUAACAUUUGGAAAGAUAAAUUAAGCUGGGUAAAGAGUGGACAACGGGCUAACCAUCACUAAGUAUAUAAAUAAGAAAAAACGUAAGAGUAGAACAAUGAAGUACCUUUUAUAACUUUUCAAAUUAUCAAAGAUCUUUCAACUGGCUUACAAGAAGAACACAGCGAUGAAGUUGAAAUGAAUAGACCCGUCACACGGAGACCACGAACGGAGCAUCGCAAACUCGCCGGCGACCUCGAUUGAAAGCUUUACUGUUUCGACUGGGUUUGGAUGGCAGUUGGACGCUGAAAUUUCAGGUAUUUGGCUGGUUGUCUGGAACUGAUUUUCACGUCGAUUUGAGGUGAUUUUGGGGUUGUUUUGAGGCUGUUUUAUGGCUGUUUUGAGGAUGUAUUUCAACUGGUUUUCUGGUAGCGUUUUUUGGGGUGAGUUUAGGGACUUUUUCGAGCUGCUUUUUGGGGAUUUCGUGACUGGAUUUUUACUGGAAUUUCGCUGUAUUUUCGAUCAGUUUUGGUGUUGUUUAUGAGUUGUGAAGGUGGCCAGCUUUCAUGGCUGUUUUAAGAACGUUUUGGUGGGGGGUUUUUGUAGCUAAAAGGCGGCUGGAUUUUGACUUGUGUUUGGCGUCAAAGAGGUGGCUAUAGAUGAUGCUUUACUUGGUGGCAGUUUGAGGGUUGUCUUCAGCUGAGGGUAGUUUCAAGGCUGAUUUUUGUGAGUGUAUUUAUGGGAAGAAGCUUACAACUGUUUCAAGAUGGUGAUGAAGAGAAGCUGCGGCUG
rnacentral:lncRNA from 1 species